rnacentral:snRNA from 1 species
AUACCUUUCUCGGCCUUUUGGCUAAGAUCAAGUGUAGUAUCUGUUCUUAUCAGUUUAAUAUCUGAUAACGGGAACCUACGGGUUCCCGGCGGGUGAGCCUAUAGGUCUACCUAUAUAUGUUUGCCCGCCCAGAUGUUAAUUUUUUUUCAGGGGAAGGACCCAUUGUCUAGUAGCUUGCUACUUGGGGGUUACUUCUGUGUUGUCCUUGCUUUGCACUCCCGCAAGGGCUUAGCACACCCACC